rnacentral:rRNA from 1 species
UACGUAGGGACCAAGCGUUGUUCGGAUUUACUGGGCGUAAAGGGCGCGUAGGCGGCGUGACAAGUCACUUGUGAAAUCUCCGGGCUUAACUCGGAACGGCCAAGUGAAACUGUCAUGCUAGAGUGCAGAAGGGGCAAUCGGAAUUCUUGGUGUAGCGGUGAAAUGCGUAGAUAUCAAGAGGAACACCUGAGGUGAAGACGGGUUGCUGGGCUGACACUGACGCUGAGGCGCGAAAGCCAGGGGAGCGAACGGG